ACUGCUCAGUAACACGUGGAUAACCUGCCCUAAGGAAGGGGAUAACCUCGGGAAACUGAGGAUAAUACCCUAUAGGUUACAGACGCUGGAAUGCCCUGUAACCGAAAGUUCCGGCGCCUUAGGAUGGAUCUGCGGCCGAUUAGGUUGUUGUUGGGGUAACGGCCCAACAAGCCGAUAAUCGGUACGGGUUGUGGGAGCAAGAGCCCGGAGUUGGAUUCUGAGACAUGAAUCCAGGCCCUACGGGGCGCAGCAGGCGCGAAGACUUUACAAUGCGGGAAACCGUGAUAAGGGAACCCCGAGUGCCUGUAUAUGCAGGCUGUCCAGGUGUCUAAAAAACACCUGAAGAAAGGGCCGGGCAAGACCGGUGCCAGCCGCCGCGGUAAUACCGGCGGCUCGAGUGGUGGCCACUUUUAUUGGGCUUAAAGCGUUCGUAGCUGGGUUGUUAAGUCUCUUGGGAAAUCUGACGGCUCAACCGUCAGGCGUCCAAGGGAUACUGGCAAUCUUGGAACCGGGAGAGGUGAGGGGUACUUCGGGGGUAGGAGUGAAAUCCUGUAAUCCUCGAGGGACCACCUGUGGCGAAGGCGCCUCACCAGAACGGCUUCGACAGUGAGGGACGAAAGCUGGGGGAGCAAACCGGAUUAGAUACCCGGGUAGUCCCAGCCGUAAACGAUGCGCGUUAGGUGUAUCGGUGACACGAGUCACCGAGGUGCCGAAGGGAAACCGUGAAACGUGCCGCCUGGGAAGUACGGUCGCAAGGCUGAAACUUAAAGGAAUUGGCGGGGGAGCAC
rnacentral:rRNA from 1 species